rnacentral:rRNA from 1 species
UACGGAGGGUGCAAGCGUUGUUCGAAUUCACUGGGCGUAAAGCGCGUGUAGGCUGCCUGUUAAGUCAGAUGUGAAAGCCCUCGGCUCAACCGAGGAAGUGCAUUUGAAACUGGCAGGCUUGAGUACGGGAGAGGGAAGCAGAAUUCCUAGUGUAGAGGUGAAAUUCGUAGAUAUUAGGAGGAAUACCUGUGGCGAAGGCGGCUUCCUGGACCGAUACUGACGCUGAGACGCGAAAGCGUGGGGAGCAAACAGGAUUAGAUACCCGAGUA